AAUAGAAAUGGUCAAAGCUCUAGAAAACAUGACUUAUGAGAGCCUGUCUCAAAAAAGCUGAUGUCUGUGAACUCAUCUGGCUCUGUCAAUCUGUUUUUUCACUUCCUCAGAUCAAUGCAUCAGAGCAGCCAGGGUGCUGUGUGCUGGGAUAAACGAGAGGCCACAGAGAAAUGGAACGGCGCUCACUGCCACGUUACACAGAGACGACUGAAUAUAAAGCUGGAGUGUAAAGCUUCUCCACACUGCACAUCAGAACGCAUUAGCUUGGAAACAGGACUGCAGUCUUCACUUCUCUUAAGCGUGCCAUCUAUCUGCUGAUGCUGCUAAGAAGCAUAUCCAUGUUGCAUGCACACCUGGUCCACUAGCCAAUGGACUGAGGCCUCCAGAAUCGUUUCCCCGAAGAGUUGGUAGUUUUCUAUCACUAACAAGGUGGUAGUACCAAUGUUUGUACCAAUACCCAGGAAUGAAAAGCUCCAAAUCACAUUUUGAAGCAUUUCUCUCUGACUAUUCCUUAAAGACAAGCGUGAUGUACAGUGACUGUAAGGAGAAAUGCUGGUUAUGAAUAUGCCCUUUUCUGUCAGGUUCCCAGACUUGCUAUUUCCCCUGGCACGUGCAGUUCCUGCUCCAAACAGGCAACUUCUCUUCCUCUGGCAUCCCAGUUGAGCCUGCCCAUGUACCUUUCAAUGACAGCUAGAGGGCUGCACACAGAGCCUGCUGGGACACAAACAACACAGGAACGGGCUGAUGUGGCUGUCUGGCAGCUGGUGGCAAGGGAAGACAUGUAUCUUUGGAAAGUGAGCAGGCAGCAGUCACUAGAAAUGACAGAAUCCUGCCUGUCGUGCAAUCCGAGCGUCUCUCAAUCCUCCCCAUUAUGAAGCUCCUCAGCAUGUCCAAUCCAAAAAGCACUACACUUUCUCCAGCCUUGUUUGCAUUGCAUUUUGGGAAGGCCUUGUAACAGUUAUAAGGAGGGCGAAGGAUACAAAGGCAAAAUGAGAACACCAAGGAGAAGGGCACAGUGCAGUCCCAUUCUUAGGGCUCAAUCCUGCAACACAUUUCAGGUGGCGCCAAGUCCACUUGUGUGCAGCAGGUUGCAAGGUGAGAGGCCAGAAGAGACUGCCAGCAUACAAAUAAUACUAUUCAUCGUACUGCUACUGAUCACCUCAUUCGAUGUUCUCCUGACUGAGGAAAAUUAUGCGCCACGCACACUUACAAUACACAUAUUGUCCCUUAUUAUGCCACAGCUCUUUAAAAAUUAUUUUUCAAACUUAAACAAUGAUGCAGUAAGGACUAGCCACUAUUGAACAAAAAUCAGCAGCUUUUGUUGUCUGAGUGCAAAAUAAGUCAAAACAAUUUCUUAAAAGUACAAAAAAGUCUAGUUUAUACUUGUCUACCUCAAACCAGUUCAGUGGGUUUUCUGUAGACACUGAGCAAAACAUCCACCCCUGUUUUUGAGACCAGGCAUGACAUUUCAGUUCAAAACUUAUUCGUAAAGAAAGUCCCUGACUGAAAAAGCUUUUGUCUCAACCUUUAUUCCUAGUAAAAUCCUUAUAAUCAUAAAAACAAAGCAACACAAAACAUUUGUCAAAUCAAAAUGUUGGUUGAAAUGUUUGUUCCAAUUAAAUAAGAUACUCUAAAGGCCAAUAACCUGGACUGUUCUUUCCAUUUGUUUAAUAGCGGAAUCCAACAGAUCACUUAGAAUUGGAAAUAAAGUGAAAAAUCAAGUGGUUUUCAAGUUAAACUUGCACCCGUGAGCCAGUUAUUAAAAAAACCCACAGCUAUGCUCUGGCAAAAAGAAUUGAUGAACAUGCAGUUUUAUGGGCCAGAUUCUCCAGUAUUUUAUCUCUUAUGCAGCCAUUUACUCCUGCGCAAAGAGAGUGCAAACCACUACCAAAAUCUCAGUGACUGCAUUUUAGAGUCACUGAACAUCUGGGAAAGGUGGUGGCAAAACAGGCUCUGCGUUGUGUACAUGACCACUGACUACCAAGGCACAUUUGAAGCAAAACUUACACCUCAGCAGUGCAGUCUCCAUCCGCCUGUUCCAUUCAGUGGCAUCACUAGAACUAUGUAGACCAGGGAUGGGGGGGCCCUCCAAGAAUUUGGUAAGUGGUCAAGUGCUGCACUCUUCCAUGUUAAUGGAGGAGGUUCGGGGUCUUGGGAAGGAGGUUGGAUGAAGCGGGAGCUUGGGGAAGGGAACUGGGAUGUAUGAGGGGGUGUGAGGUCUGAGAGGCAGUUUGGGUGAAGGAGGGGGCACUGGAGUGGUGAAGGGUCUGGGAGGAGGGUAUGGGUGCAGAAGAAAAUUCUGACCUGGAGGAGGGGUGUAUGAGAUGGUGCAGGGUCUAGUAGGGGACUGUGACCUGGGGAAGGGGUACAGGAGUUUGGAUUGUGACCUGAACCAGAGGACAGGGGUAUAGCUUCAAGGAGGGGGUAUGGGUGCAGGAUCAGGGUUUGUAGAGGGUCUGGAUUGUGACCUGGGGCAGAAAGUUGGUGGGAGGGAAGGGGUAGAAUGCCAGAUACAGGCUCUGGCCUUAGGCGGCUCCUGACCAGCAGCCCAACACGGCCCCUUCCCACUCAAGGGGUGCACGGCUUGCAGAGACGCACAUGUCCUCCUCCCCCUCCAGUCAGCUGCUUUGAGUGGUGUGUAGGGGCAUGGCAGCCAGGAAGCCUGCCUGAAGCUCCUGCUGGGGUGCAGGACAGUUGUGCGCCGUAUCCAGUGGUUUGGUGGACGAAUCCAGCCCCUGCUGAUGAAAGUUCCUGAAGAAAGAGAUGAAACCUGCCAAUUGGUGGAUUUAAUUACAAACUGAACACUGGAGCUGGGUUUGCUGAGGUUUCUGAGCUGCUCAGCAAACCGGACCAGUUUCAUAAGAUUUAUGUGCAUGGUGUUUAUUCCAUCAUAUUUUAAUAACAGUGGGUUUGAUGCGUUUUGUUUUGAAGGAUAAAUCACGCAGGCAGAAGGAAUCUGGAUCUGGAGAAGGAAUGGAGAGGGAAGGCAGUGCUACUUUUCAUUUGUUUAUCAGCUCAUCAGAUUCGUUCCAUCUAGAUGGUUAUUCUUCACACAGUUUAUCUGCACCGUGUUUGCCCAAGUACUGCUGAAAUGAUUUAGAAAACACAGAAACAUGGCAGUGGAACCAAAAAA